AACCUCCGCAAUGUGAGAAAUCGCGACGGGGGGAUCCCAAGUGCCAUUCUUAACGGGAUGGCUUUUCAUUAGUGUAAAGAGCUUUUGGAAUAAGGGCUGGGCAAGACCGGUGCCAGCCGCCGCGGUAACACCGGCAGCUCAGUGGUAGCAGUUUUUAUUGGGCCUAAAGCGUCCGUAGCCGGUUUAAUAAGUCUCUGGUGAAAUCCUGUAGCUUAACUGUGGGAAUUGCUGGAGAUACUAUUAGACUUGAGACCGGGAGAGGUUAGAGGUACUCCCAGGGUAGAGGUGAAAUUCUGUAAUCCUGGGAGGACCGCCUGUUGCGAAGGCGUCUAACUGGAACGGUUCUGACGGUGAGGGACGAAAGUUAGGGGCGCGAACCGGAUUAGAUACCCGGGUAGUCCUAACUGUAAACGAUGCGGACUUGGUGUUGGGGUGGCUUUGAGCUGCUCCAGUGCCGAAGGGAAGCUGUUAAGUCCGCCGCCUGGGAAGUACGGUCGCAAGACUGAAACUUAAAGGAAGU
rnacentral:rRNA from 1 species